AGGAUGAACGCUGGCGGCGUGCCUAACACAUGCAAGUCGAACGUCCUGUCUCGCAAGAGGCAGGGAGUGGCGGACGGGUGAGUACCACGUGGGUUAUCUACCGUGAGGUGAGGAAUACCGGCGAGAAAUCGCCGACAAGACCGCAUAGCCUCGGUGCAAGUCGAGGAAAGCUCUCUCGAGAGAGGGAGCGCCACACGAGGAGCCUGCGCCCGAUUAGCUAGCUGGUGGAGUAAUGGUUCACCAGGGCGACGAUCGGUAGCUGGUCUGAGAGGACGAUCAGCCACACUGGGAUUGAGAACGGCCCAGACUCCUACGGGGGGCAGCAGUGAGGAAUUUUCGUCAAUGGGGGCAACCCUGAACGAGCAACGCCGCGUGCAGGAAGAAGGUUUUCGGAUCGUAAACUGCUUUUCUCGGGAAGAGAACGGACGGUACCCGAGGAAUCAGCCCCGGCUAACUACGUGCCAGCAGCCGCGGUAA
rnacentral:rRNA from 1 species